GUGCUCCAAUCACGCUGGACCAUCUGUCCGAAGUGAUGCUGGUUUGUCUGCUGGUGUAAGUGGCAGUAGACAGGGUGUGAUUCUCCCUCCUCUGCAUGAUCUUGAUGUGGGAGUUAUAGUCUCUCUUCCACCUGAUGUCAUUGCAGAAAUUAAUGACAUGUAUGGUGGGGAGUUAACAAGUUUCAUUUCCAAGUAUAAAAGUGACAUGAAUAUGCCUGCUAUGUCAGUUGAUAGUUUUGAGGGUAAAAUUUUAAACCUUUCCUCUGUUUAAAAGUGGAUUUUCUUCUCCUUGUCAAAUGUCUCAUGAUGAACUGUUGCAUUCCGAUUAGGGGUAACUGCUGAGGAAAAAGAAUGCCAUCCCUCUUAUCUGGUCCAAUCUAAUAAAUUCCCCUUUGACAUUAAGGUACUGCUCCUACUCAUGUUCUAUGUAGCUUGUGCACAAUUAACUACAGGAUCUGAAAUAAAUCAAUAUCCCAGUGAAAUAAAGUAUAAAUAAAACAAAUUUUUGUGCUUAAAAUUUGUUAUCGAGGUCAGUUGUGCUCCAAUCACGCUGGACCAUCUGUCCGAAGUGAUGCUGGUUUGUCUGCUGGUGUAAGUGGCAGUAGACAGGGUGUGAUUCUCCCUCCUCUGCAUGAUCUUGAUGUGGGAGUUAUAGUCUCUCUUCCACCUGAUGUCAUUGCAGAAAUUAAUGACAUGUAUGGUGGGGAGUUAACAAGUUUCAUUUCCAAGUAUAAAAGUGACAUGAAUAUGCCUGCUAUGUCAGUUGAUAGUUUUGAG
rnacentral:lncRNA from 1 species